AAUCAACGCUGGCGGCGUGCCUAACACAUGCAAGUCGCACGAGAAAGUGGAGCAAUCCAUGAGUAAAGUGGCGCACGGGUGAGCAACACGUGAAUAAUCUACCUCCGAGUGGGGAAUAACUGAGAGAAAUCUUAGCUAAUACCGCAUAACACUUACGAGUCAAAGCAGCAAUGCGCUUGGAGAGGAGUUCGCGGCCGAUUAGUUAGUUGGCGGGGUAANGGCCCACCAAGACGAUGAUCGGUAUCCGGCCUGAGAGGGCGCACGGACACACUGGAACUGAAACACGGUCCAGACUCCUACGGGAGGCAGCAGUGGGGAAUUUUGCGCAAUGGGGGAAACCCUGACGCAGCAACGCCGCGUGGAGGAUGAAGUAUCUUGGUACGUAAACUCCUUUCGAUUGGGAAGAUAAUGACGGUACCAAUAGAAGAAGCCCCGGCUAACUUCGUG
rnacentral:rRNA from 1 species